AAUCAACGCUGGCGGCGUGCCUAACACAUGCAAGUCGAACGCGAAAGGGGACUUCGGUUCCUGAGUAGAGUGGCGUACGGGUGAGUAACGCGUGGGUCAUCUGCCCUCGGGUGGGGAAUAACUAAUCGAAAGGUUAGCUAAUACCGCAUAACACAGUGAUGUCAAAGCAGCAAUGUGCCUGAGGAGGAGCCUGCGUCUGAUUAGGUAGUUGGUGGGGUAACGCCUACCAAGCCUGCGAUCAGUAGCUGGUCUGAGAGGACGGCCAGCCACAAUGGCACUGAAACACGGGCCAUACUCCUACGGGAGGCAGCAGUGGGGAAUUUUGCNCAAUGGGCGAAAGCCUGACGCAGCAACGCCGCGUGAGGGAU
rnacentral:rRNA from 1 species